rnacentral:rRNA from 1 species
UACGUAGGGUGCGAACGUUGUUCGGAAUCACUGGGCUUAAAGGGCGCGUAGGCGGGCUAUCAAGUCUGGGGUGAAAUCCCACGGCUCAACCGUGGAACUGCCUUAGAUACUGACGGCCUUGAGGAAGGUAGGGGCAUGCGGAACUGUAGGUGGAGCGGUGAAAUGCGUUGAUAUCUGCAGGAACUCCGGUGGCGAAAGCGGCGUGCUGGGCCUUUUCUGACGCUGAGGCGCGAAAGCUAGGGGAGCAAACGGG